UAAAUAGCCCGUCUUGCUUUGGCAGUACGCUGGCUUCUUAGAGGGACUAUCGGCUCAAGCCGAUGGAAGUUUGAGGCAAUAACAGGUCUGUGAUGCGCUUAGAUGUUCUGGACCAAACGCAAACUACACAGACGGAGCCAGCGAGUUCUCCCUUGACCGGAAGGUCCG
rnacentral:rRNA from 1 species